GUCCUAUUGUAUUAUUUAGUAGGUUUGACCUGCCCAGUGAUAAAUUUAACGGCCGCGGUAUAUUGACCGUGCAAAGGUAGCAUAAUCAUUAGUCUUUUAAUAGGAGGCUGGAAUGAAAGGUUUAACGAGAAAUUAACUGUCUCAAUUACAAAUUUGAAUUUAUCUUUUGAGUCAAAAGACUUAAAUAUUAUUGGGGGACGAGAAGACCCUAUAGAGCUUGACAAUUUUUUUUCUGUAUUUAUUUAGUGUAAUUAUUUAUGUACAUUGAAAAAUUUGUUUUGUUGGGGUGACAAUAAAUAUAUAUUUAACUUUUAUUAUAAUUUAAACAUUAAUUUAUGAUUUUUGGAUCCAAAAAUUUUGAUCAAUAGAUUAAGUUACC
rnacentral:rRNA from 1 species